GCGGCCGGACGCGCGGAGCCGGUUACCGCACGGACCGGACGACCUCUGCUUCGUCAUUUCCUGCCGGCCCGGCGGCUUCCGGAUGGAACGAGGAGCCAGUGAAUGCAAUUUACCAGGAUGGGAGCAUUACUGAAGGCUUCCGGUGCCCAUCUGUCCGUUUGCCUUAUCCUUUUGUGAAAUCUUGACCCACUUUUUCAGCUUGUCUUGGACAGUAGAGCACACUCUUGGGGCCCAGAGGCCUCUUCCAACCAAGUAAUGUUUCUUUGGUGGAAAAAAACCAACGGCACUGUUGGUUUGGUGACAAACCUGGAGUGAGGUCACUUUGAAGCCAUGUGGACUUGGAUGAGGGCCUGCAAACAAAAUCCAGCAAGAUGAAGGAAAGUGGUAUACUCUGAAAGCCCAGUUUUGUGUCCCUUUAGUCGGGAGCUGACAAUAUUAUUUUGGGGGUGUUGGGCACCAACAGAGCCCAUUGAAUCCACGUGACUCGGCCGAUAGGGGAGCACACACGUCACCAUACCCGCUGUCCAGGAAUCAGAGGAGGAGGUGCCCUGGGGUGAAGCCUGGGCCACAGCCCCGGUUAGCAGCUGUGCAGGCAUCUUACCUUGGAAACAGCACAGCUUGGCUUCCGUGUCAUCGCUGAGUUCAGAGAAUCCUAGUUUCACCGUGUCCUCAGUAGAGACCAGAGAACCAGGUUUGUUCCUUCAAGAAGUGUCCCAGUGCCUUGGAAUUCAGCAGCUGUUUCCAGAAGUAAAUAAUCAUGUCAGAUGCCUGUGAAUGGACUGUAUGGCCAAGUGCCCCGUCGCGAUAUUCAUGGAAGAAUGGUUUAAAAAAACAAAACAAAACUGAAGAAAAGGCAAAUUUCAAGAAUCAGCCCAAUGCCAUUUAGGAUUUUUGAGCAGCUGAAAGAAGAGAGUUCUGCAAAUAUGAGCAACAAGACUCUAGCAUAUUUCUUUACAUGUUUCUUACAUUGUCUUUGUUAACCCAUUGCUUUUGUGUAUAAUAUUUGAGUUAUUUUUUCCCUGCUGCUAAAGCUGGUAAUCUGCUUACGAUCAGAGUUUCAAUCUGUGUGGAUAGAGAAAUAGUAGAUACAAUAGGAGAAAUGGGAGCUUAUAACAGGAUGUUGGCCCGCAGAAAUUGACUUUCACUGAAGAAUUCCUCAAGGCACAGGAUGUUGAGAAACUGCUUCUUCUCAGUGAUUGUCAAAGCUUGGCGGCUUUAGGUUCAUCUUCCUUUAUCUUCCUCUCAGCCUCUGUGUGUGCCUGCUUUUUUUCUUGCACAGUUUUUUGGACCGAAAAUCUGAUGACUGUAUUUUUUCAGCUUAAAAAUAAAGAGUUAUAUGAAUUACAGCUUCAUAAAUAGACCUUUGGUACGGUA